rnacentral:rRNA from 1 species
ACCUACCUUUCAGUGAGGGAUACCGGCGAGAAAUCGCCGACAAUCCCGCAUGGGCAUCGGUUUGUGAGAGAACCGAUGCAAAGUCUGGCGCAAGCCAGACGCUGGGAGAUGGGCCCGCGGCCGAUUAGCUAGUUGGUGGGGUAAGAGCCUACCAAGGCUGCGAUCGGUAGCUGGUCUGAGAGGACGAUCAGCCACACUGGGAUUGAAACGGCCCAG